rnacentral:tRNA from 7 species
GAGCCAUUAGCUCAGUUGGUAGAGCAUCUGACUUUUAAUCAGAGGGGCAGAGGUUCGAAUCCUCUAUGGCUCACUA